AUUGAACGCUGGCGGAAUGCUUUACACAUGCAAGUCGAACGGCAGCACGGGGCAACCUGGUGGCGAGUGGCGAACGGGUGAGUAAUACAUCGGAACGUGCCCAGUCGUGGGGGAUAACGUAGCGAAAGCUACGCUAAUACCGCAUACGAUCCAAGGAUGAAAGCGGGGGACGUCGCAAGAGCCUCGCGCGAUUGGAGCGGCCGAUGGCAGAUUAGGUAGUUGGUGGGGUAAAGGCUCACCAAGCCUGCGAUCUGUAGCUGGUCUGAGAGGACGACCAGCCACACUGGAACUGAGACACGGUCCAGACUCCUACGGGAGGCAGCAGUGGGGAAUUUUGGACAAUGGGCGCAAGCCUGAUCCAGCCAUUCCGCGUGCAGGAUGAAGGCC
rnacentral:rRNA from 1 species